CCUACGGGAGGCAGCAGUGGGGAAUAUUGGACAAUGGGCGAAAGCCUGAUCCAGCCAUGCCGCGUGUGUGAAGAAGGCCUUCGGGUUGUAAAGCACUUUCAGUGGGGAAGAAAGCCUUGGGGCUAAUACCCUCGAGGAAGGACAUCACCCACAGAAGAAGCACCGGCUAACUCCGUGCCAGCAGCCGCGGUAAUACGGAGGGUGCGAGCGUUAAUCGGAAUUACUGGGCGUAAAGCGCGCGUAGGCGGUCUGAUAAGCCGGUUGUGAAAGCCCCGGGCUCAACCUGGGAACUGCAUCCGGAACUGUCAGGCUAGAGUGCAGGAGAGGAAGGUAGAAUUCCCGGUGUAGCGGUGAAAUGCGUAGAGAUCGGGAGGAAUACCAGUGGCGAAGGCGGCCUUCUGGACUGACACUGACGCUGAGGUGCGAAAGCGUGGGUAGCAAACAGGAUUAGAUACCCCGGUAGUC
rnacentral:rRNA from 1 species